rnacentral:rRNA from 1 species
GAAUUUUAUUAAUGUUAACUUGAAAUAAUUUAAUUUUACAUUAAUUUUGUUGGGGGGAUGUUUAAAUUAUUUAAACUUUAAUUUUUUUUUUACUUUUAUUAAUGGUAUAAUAAAUUUGAAUGAUAUAAUUUUGUUUGUAUUAGAUUAAAUUACCUUAGGGAUAACAGCAUAAUAUCUUUGGAGAGUUCAUAUUGAUAAAGAUGAUUGU